rnacentral:rRNA from 1 species
UACGUAGGGUGCGAGCGUUGUCCGGAAUUAUUGGGCGUAAAGGGCUCGUAGGCGGUCUGUUGCGUCGGGAGUGAAAACUCAGGGCUUAACCCUGAGCCUGCUUCCGAUACGGGCGGACUAGAGGUAUGCAGGGGAGAACGGAAUUCCUGGUGUAGCGGUGAAAUGCGCAGAUAUCAGGAGGAACACCGGUGGCGAAGGCGGUUCUCUGGGCAUUACCUGACGCUGAGGAGCGAAAGUGUGGGGAGCGAACAGG